rnacentral:sRNA from 1 species
AGCAAAAGAAAAACAUUCCGUAGUCAGUUCGAUCGGUGCUCAUCAAGUAGCUAAGCUAUUUAAGCGAGCAUUAAUAAGACAUACACACUGUCACUUACGUACUAGUUGAGCUAGCUUUGUUAAUUCCCCUCGUGUUAAUUUGAUUAUUAGCCAUGGGAGGCAAGAAGAAAUCCGGCUCUGGUUUCUGGUCGUCGGCGUCUUGGUUCGCGUGCUUGGGCGCCUCAAAGGCGGCGGCCGCGGGCUCCGGCUCGGGCGGCCACGCCGGGUAUGAUGCGGCCGGCGGGAUGGUUGGGGCGGCUAAACAUUUCUCCAGUUCUCACAAGAUAAACUUUGGUUAACUGUUAAUGGUGCAUGUUAUCAUGUUUGUACUUUGUACAUAAUAGAAUUAUUAUCUGUUCAAUUACUGUAGCACACAUAUGUGUAUAUAUUUAGGAUUCAUAAGGUCGUUGUUAAUUUGUAAAAAGAAGUGUUCGAUUAAGGGCCGGUCAAAUAGGUCCUGAAGUUUCUACUUCGAAUAAAAUAGAAAGAGCCAGGUGAAGAUGUGAAUUGGGCUCUUAAAUCCG